UGCUGGGGAUCCUCAGGGACUUCCGGGGCACCCUGUCCAUCAAGGACCUCAGCCAGAUGACCAGCAUCACGCAGACCGACAUCAUCAGCACGCUGCAGUCGCUCAACAUGGUCAAGUACUGGAAGGGCCAGCACGUCAUCUGCGUCACGCCCAAGCUGGUGGAGGAGCACCUCAAGAGCGCCCAGUACAAGAAACCGCCCAUCACCGUGGAUUCCAUCUGCCUGCGCUGGGCGCCCCCGAAGCACAAACAGGCCAAGGUGGCCAAGAAGUGAAAUUCCCAAUUUUUCCCAAUUUUGGGCGUUUUUACCCCAAAUUUUGGGAUUUUUUUUCCCUCCAGUUUUGGGGUUUUUCCCAAAUUUUUGGGUUUUUCCCAAAUUUUUGGGUUUUUCCCGGAAAUUUUGGGGUUUUUUCCACCAAAUUUUUGGAGUUUUCCCCUUUAAAUUUUGGG